AGAAUUAGAUCAGACAUUGACUCUUCUCUUAGAUUUAAAGGUUAAGGAAUGUUACUGCAGUUCUCUGUUGCGUGGGUGCUCUUGCUAUCACCAGGAAUCUCCAUCAUGUUAAUAAGGACAACCUAAGAGAAAGAGCCUGAUGUUUGCUAUUUGUGGUGGGUCUCAUCCAGCUUAAUCAUGAUCGAUAGAGUUCACUGGAUCGAGAAAGCAAAGCUUGUCAAGUUCAUCUUGGACUCUCAGAUAGACCCGAAGAUGCUGUUGAUAUCUUCCACACCUACUUUGGAGUUGCGGGGCUCUCUCUCUUCUGGAGUAUCCUGGAGUCAAAUCAAUUGAUCCUGCCUACGCAAAGAGUUUGUGUGUCAAUUGAUUCUUCAUCAGAAUUCAGAUGUAGGGUAGUAGCCUAGUAGGUAUUAGAAGUAGAUAAUAUUAGAAGUAGAUGUAGGGUCAAGCAUAUGCUGCAAUAUCUUUACUAUUCA